GAUGAAGAACGUAGUGAAAUGCGAUAAGUAAUGUGAAUUGCAGAAUUCAGUGAAUCAUCGAAUCUUUGAACGCGCAUUGCGCCCAUUAGUAUUCUAGUGGGCAUGCCUGUUCGAGCGUCAUUUCAACCCUUAAGCCUAGCUUAGUGUUGGGAAUCUGCUGUAUUGCAGUUCCUCAAAUACAACGGCGGAUCUGUAACAUCCUCUGAGCGUAGUAAAUUUUUAUCUCGCUUUUGUUAGGUGUUGCAGCUCUCAGCCGCUAAACCCCCCAAUUUUUGUGGUUGACCUCGGAUCAGGUAGGAAUACCCGCUGAACUUAAGCAUAUCAAUAAGCGGAGGA
rnacentral:misc_RNA from 1 species